CUUCUUUGACUUUCUCAAAGAAAUAAGACUCAAGAAACUCUUCUACUCCCAUUUCCCUCGGGUCCAUGCAAAUCAGAAAUUUGCACCUUACUUUACUCUUUUUCUCUCAAGGAAAGUGCUAGGAAGCUCUCUUGAGUCUUCCCUCAAGUCCAUGGGUUCACACACCAAAAGAAAACUCAUUUCUUCUUCAUAUUCUCUCAAAGGAACCAGAAAACUCUCUCAAGCUCUCUACCAUUCUUUCAUGAGUGGUUCUAUGUCUAUUUUCCCCCACAAGAACCAUAAACUUAGUGUUACCAGUUCCCCAGGUUUAAGCUCCUUCAACUUUAGGCUCUCGGUUUCUUUGCUUUCAGUUAGCAGGUUUUGUUUUGGAGUAGAGGGAGCCUU